UACGUAGGGUCCAAGCGUUAAUCGGAAUUACUGGGCGUAAGCGUGCGCAGGCGGUUCGUUAAGUCAGCUGUGAAAGCCCCGGGCUCAACCUGGGAAUGGCGAUGGAUACUGGCUCGCUAGAGUGCGGUAGAGGAGAGUGGAAUUCCCGGUGUAGCAGUGAAAUGCGUAGAGAUCGGGAGGAACACCAGUGGCGAAGGCGGCUCACUGGCCCGGUACUG
rnacentral:rRNA from 1 species